GACGAACCACACAAACGUUAUUCGGAAUUACUGGGCUUAAAGGGUGCGCAGGCGGCCUGACAAGUUGGGUGUGAAAUACCUCGGCUCAACCGAGGAACGGCGCUCAAAACUGCCAGGCUAGAGGGAGAUAGAGGUGAGCGGAACUUAAGGUGGAGCGGUGAAAUGCGUUGAUAUCUUAAGGAACACCCGUGGCGAAAGCGGCUCACUGGAUCUCUUCUGACGCUCAGGCACGAAAGCUAGGGGAGCGAACGGG
rnacentral:misc_RNA from 1 species